GCUUUAUAUAAUUUGUAUUUAAACUAUUAAGAUUUUUUAAAUUUAAUUAUCUCAUUAUAUUUUGUUGGGGUGACAAUAAAAUUUAUAAAACUUUUAUUUUUAUUAACCAUUUAUUUAUGUAUAUAUGAUCCAGUUUUAUUGAUUAUAAAUUUAAGU
rnacentral:rRNA from 1 species